CGUCUCGCUAAUACUUAGCUUUCCCCGGUCACGUCUGUUUCGUUUUUGUUUCAAAGAGAUGGCUUUGUUUUUGCCGGUGUGGGGCUCCACGAGGAGCUCCGCGCGUCCCGCCCCCUCGCCUCGGGCGUCACUGCCUCGCGGCGCCAGCUCGGUGGCCCCGGGGCCGCCAGAAGCCCCCGCCUUUGUCCGGCUGAUCGGCCGAGGUGUAAUCUGCGCGCGCACACGCACGCACGCACGCACGCAUGCACCCGCCCGCGCCCACCCGCGCAUGCGCGCUCUCGCAGCUCCGCCCGAAGCGCCGCCUCCAUGCCAGACCGUCUCACCCACCAGUGCUCAAGUGUUUCACCCACCAGUGCUCAAAUUCUUCCUGGGCCCUCCCUGACACAAGAGGUAUUACUUAAGAAGGAGACUCAUUUAAUGGAUAUUCAGGGUGUCGUGCUCAUGCCCAAGGCUCUGGCGCAGGCAGCCAGACCCAGAGACAAGAACAGCUCCCUGGGCCUGCCUGAAGAGAGCAAGAGCUGGCUACAAACCCGGGGACCUGCCUUCACGACUGGUUUUUAUUUUAUGCCUUGGGAUGCCUCUGGCUGGGCUGAGGGACAAGGCUGCUGCCCCCCCCCCACCCCCGUGCUGACUUGAUCCAGAACUGCUUUCCUUUUAUCUGUCUGACAUACUGGGAGUCCGCCUAAGAUUUGGUUAGAAUUUUUUGGCAAUCAUUCUCCUCACUGAAAGAAGUACAUAUCUGUGGUGGAGUUUUUCUCAAUUUUGAAAUAAAGUUAUUCUUCCUAAUUAUUAAAGUAAUAUC
rnacentral:lncRNA from 1 species